CAGCCGCCGCGGUAAUACGUAGGGUGCAAGCGUUAAUCGGAAUUACUGGGCGUAAAGCGUGCGCAGGCGGUUCUAUAAGACAGAUGUGAAAUCCCCGGGCUCAACCUGGGAACUGCAUUUGUGACUGUAGAGCUGGAGUGCGCCAGAGGGGGAUGGAAUUCCGCGUGUAGCAGUGAAAUGCGUAGAUAUGCGGAGGAACACCGAUGGCGAAGGCAAUCCCCUGGGCCUGCACUGACGCUCAUGCACGAAAGCGUGGGGAGCAAACAGGAUUAGAUACCCCCGUAGUCCCUGUCUCUUAUAC
rnacentral:rRNA from 1 species